rnacentral:RNase_P_RNA from 1 species
CGGCUGCAAGUGUCGAAAGACCGCAGGUGAGGAAAGUCCGGGCUUCAUAGGGCAGGAUGCCGGAUAACAUCCGGUGGAGGUGACUCCAAGGACAGUGCAACAGAAAUAUACCGCGUUAGCAAUGAGCCAUGCGCAGACACGUAUACAACAGAUUUUUGAGUAAGCUGGCUUACAGAGAAAAUUUGAUGAAUGCGGAUUAACACAAGAUUCUGUGUAUCGCUCAUUGUUAACGUAAGGGUGGAAGGGCAGUGUAAGAGACUACCGCCCGGCUGGUAACAGCCGGGGCACAUGUAAACCCCAUCCGAAGCAAGACCGAAACAAAGCGUUGACGUGGCCCGCCAGCUUUAGGUAGGUCGCUUGAGGUAACUGGUAACAGUUAUCCUGGAUAGAUGAUCAUUCACGACAUAACCCGGCUUAUCGUUUUGCUUG